rnacentral:tRNA from 1 species
GGAGGAAUACCCAAGCGGUCGAAGGGGCGGGCUUGGAAAGCUCGUAGACUCUGAAAGGGGUGCCAGGGUUCGAAUCCCUGUUCCUCCGCCA